GAACGAACGCUGGCGGCAUGCCUACCACAUGCAAGUCGAACGAGACCUUCGGGUCUAGUGGCGCACGGGUGCGUAACGCGUGGGAAUCUGCCCUUGGGUUCGGAAUAACAGUUGGAAACGACUGCUAAUACCGGAUGAUGACGUAAGUCCAAAGAUUUAUCGCCCAGGGAUGAGCCCGCGUAGGAUUAGCUAGUUGGUGGGGUAAAGGCCUACCAAGGCGACGAUCCUUAGCUGGUCUGAGAGGAUGAUCAGCCACACUGGGACUGAGACACGGCCCAGACUCCUACGGGAGGCAGCAGUGGGGAAUAUUGGACAAUGGGCGAAAGCCUGAUCCAGCAAUGCCGCGUGAGUGAUGAAGGCCUUAGGGUUGUAAAGCUCUUUUACCCGGGAUGAUAAUGACAGUACCGGGAGAAUAAGCCCCGGCUAACUCCGUG
rnacentral:rRNA from 1 species